GACAGAGGGUGCAAACGUUGCUCGGAAUCACUGGGCGUAAAGGGCGUGUAGGCGGGUAGAUAAGUCGGGCGUGAAAUCCCUAGGCUCAACCUAGGAACUGCACUCGAAACUGUUUAUCUUGAGUGCCGGAGAGGAAAGCGGAAUUCCUGGUGUAGAGGUGAAAUUCGUAGAUAUCAGGAGGAACACCUGCGGUGUAGACGGCUUACUGGACGGGUAAACU
rnacentral:rRNA from 1 species